UGACUGAAUUUAUGAUUUCUUUCCUAUGGAGCAUCCAAAGUGAUCAUGAACUCCAACAGACUCAAAUAUGAGUAUUUUCUAGAGAAGUGCAUUCUUUGGGGGGUAAAAAAAUCAGCUGACCACGGAAGUCAUACAACUAUGGUGUGUGAUUUCAAAAGAAUAGUAUGUGGGUAACACUGAUUGUUUCUUCAACCUCCUUUGCAUGAAAAACUAUGCUUAAGAAGAAAUUCAGAGUAAUUUAAUCUUUAUUAGAUUUUUUUAAUUUAAAAAUCCUCCCUUCAUAUUGUUACCACACAAAAUGGGGUUCUCCUACCCGAUAUGCAUAAACAAGCCAAUUAAUUAUGGAAUCAGUUUUUGGGUAAAGAGAGCAGUUUUAUUCUGUGAGAUUAAUUUGCAGGGAGACAAGGGGAGUAUGCCUUCAGAUCUGUCUCCCCAGUUCAAGAUUUGGGGCAAAAUUUAAGAGGUUAGGGAGAACAAGCUGGCAUGUGGACGCCCUGGCGGGGCAGGUUUUGAUUGGUGGGCUUCAAGCAUUUAUGGUAAGGUUCCAAACAUUUAUGAUGACGUGGGGAAGGAAUUCUAACACCAGAUCUUCUUGAAUGACGGACCCCCCGCUUCUGAGAAGAGUCUGACUUUCAAGUUCCAGUCAUGUCCUGGUCCUUUUGUUGCAUGGGGAGGAGGAUCGUUGGUUCCACAGUCAUUUCAGGACUAUCAUCGCAGAGGCUGCACAGAACAAGCAACGCAUGUCUGAUGGCCUCUCUCUUCUUGGUCGUAUAGAAGCCUAUGAGUGAAGGGGAGUGGAACUGAGAAGAGAGAGAUCUGAAGUAAUCAAAACGGGAAUUAGGCUAAGUCAAUUAUAAAAACAAACUGAAGAGAAACAAAGAGCAAACCAAAAAACAAAGGAAACCAAUAAAAUAAUUCAGCACUGGUGCA